rnacentral:sRNA from 1 species
UGACCACCCGUUACCGGGUCAAGGCCAUACGGACAGCCGGGUCAACUGCCGA